UCUCAUAUUUUAUGUUGUUUUUGUAAUUAAAAAAAACAGUUACAUCAUAUACUCAAACUGGCAUUUGAAGGGUUAGAAUCCUGAAAAUUACUGAACAUUUGGUUGUUUUGAGCAAAGCUGAAGUGGUUUAAGAGAUUUAUGCAGAAAAAAA